rnacentral:rRNA from 1 species
UAGGGAAUCUUCGGCAAUGGACGGAAGUCUGACCGAGCAACGCCGCGUGAGUGAAGAAGGUUUUCGGAUCGUAAAACUCUGUUGUUAGAGAAGAACAAGGGUGAGAGUAACUGUUCACCCCUUGACGGUAUCUAACCAGAAAGCCACGGCUAACUACGUGCCAG